rnacentral:misc_RNA from 1 species
ACACCUCAACUCUCAUGGCUUGCCAUGAUGAGCUUGGACUCUGGAGGUCUUGUUGGCCCUGUGGUCAGCUCCUCUCAAAUAAAUCAGCUUACCAGUGUUUGGUGGCAUCACAGGUGUGAUAACUAUCUACGCUUGUGGUUUUCCACCAGGUAACCUUCAGUGAUGGGGGUUCGCUGGGGCUCAUAAACGUCUCUCCUCAGUGAAGACAGCUUUGUGAAC